rnacentral:rRNA from 1 species
GAUGAACGCUGGCGGCGUGCCUAAUACAUGCAAGUCGAGCGAACAGACGAGGAGCUUGCUCCUCUGACGUUAGCGGCGGACGGGUGAGGAACACGUGGAUAACCUACCUAUAAGACCGGGUUAACAUCGGCAAACCGGAGCUAAUACCGGGUAAUAUAUUGAACCGCAUGGUUCAAUAGUGUAAGACGGUUUUUGUGUCAGUUAUAGAUGGAUCCGCGCCGCAUUAGCUAGUUGGUAAGGUAACGGCUUACCAAGGCAACGAUGCGUAGCCGACCUGAGAGGGUGAUCGGCCACACUGGAACUGAGACGCGGUCCAGACUCCUACGGGAGGCAGCAGUAGGGAAUCUUCCGCAAUGGGCGGAAGCCUGACGGAGCAACGCCGCGUGAGUGAUGAAGGUCUUCUGAUCGUAGAACUCUGUUAUUAGGGAAGAACAAAUGUGUAAGUAACUAUGCACGGCUUGACGGUACCUAAUCAGAAAGCCACGGCUAACUACGUG